GACGAACGCUGGCGGCGUGCUUAACACAUGCAAGUCGAACGAGAAGAGAUGAGAAGCUUGCUUCUUAUUGAUUCGAGUGGCAAACGGGUGAGUAACGCGUAAGCAACCUGCCCUUCAGAUGGGGACAACAGCUGGAAACGGCUGCUAAUACCGAAUACGUUCUUUUUGUCGCAUGGCAGAGGGAAGAAAGGGAGGCUCUUCGGAGCUUUCGCUGAAGGAGGGGCUUGCGUCUGAUUAGCUAGUUGGAGGGGUAACGGCCCACCAAGGCGACGAUGGAUAGGGGUUCUGAGAGGAAGGUCCCCCACAUUGGAACUGAGACACGGUCCAA
rnacentral:rRNA from 1 species